GGAAAAUGGGGUAAAAAUGGGAUAGAAAACCCAAAAAUGGGAUUGGAGGUGUCCAAGAUCGUGGCCUCCAUGUGGGACUCCCUGGGGGAGGAGCAGAAACAGGU